UGGCGAACUCCGGUCAGCUGACACAUCCCUGCCAAUCUCCGGCAGACCCUCCCUCCCAGACCCUCCCACCUCCUGGACAGCAGUAGGAGGGUCUGGGAGGGAGGGUCUGCCGGAGAUUGGCAGGGAUGUGUCAGCUGACCGG